rnacentral:rRNA from 1 species
AGGUGUAAUCAUAACAACACUAAUGCACUGGAUCCCAAUAAAACUCCGCAGUUAAGUGUGCUUGGGCGAGAGUAGUACUAGGAUGGGUGACAUCCUAGGAAGUCGUGUUUCCCCCCUU